UGAGGGACCAGGACAGGAGAUGUCACCAGCUUUGGGGUAAAUCCAUUCUCUGGAAUCUGGGUUUGAGGGGCCCUCACAGAGAGCGGACCUCAACCCUGCGGCCGGAAUCUCUGCAGCCCACGACCAAUCGACCAAUCCCAGUGCUGCUGACAAGAGCGCGGAUCUCAAUUCUUCGGGUCUGUGCGGACGUUGCCUUCCAAUCAAAGAAAACUUCCUGGACCCACAAGAUGUUCCACUACACCCUGCAUUCUCUAGCUCUGUGAACUGAUUGACUGACUGAUUAACAGAUGUCUGAAUUCAACCUCCCCAACACUGAUUGCCAGGGAAGGGACCCAGCAAGGCACGUGGGAUCUUAGUUCCCCAGGGAUCGAACCAUGCCCCCAGCAGUGGAAGCACAGAAGUGUUAACUACUGGACCUCUGGGGCAGUCCCCCUGCUGACAUCUAGAAUCAGACUCUGGUCUCCUGCACUGUGAGAGAAUACAUUUCUGUUGCUUUGAGCCGUGGAGCUCACAGUCAUGUUAUCACCACCACAGGAAACCCCGACCUAAUC